rnacentral:lncRNA from 1 species
UACCUGUUGGCGUUUAGACCUGGACCUACCGAGAACCAGAUUUGUGUACCGAACCCUGCUAUCCUUGACCUUACCUGCGGCCUAGGUGGACCAGGACAGCGAAACAAACACACAGAGAAUUUGAUAGUACAUCCAACUGGCCUCCACAUCCAGCUUCUUCACCUACAGGAUCGUCUGAGAACAGCCACCCGAACAGCUGAUGAAACUGCGGAGUAUUUCUACCUUUAAUACAGCCCUUUUGUGAGGGAAUGCCUGUGUGUGGCAAUAAUGAACAUGGAGUGAACCAAGGUUUACAAGAAUGUCUUCGG